ensembl:lncRNA
CCACGCUGCUGGAGCAGGCCUGGCACCGCCGGCAGAGGCGGCUGGACGUGCUCUUUGACGGCCGGCCCUUCGCCAUCGACCUGGAGCGCAUGGAGGAGUACGACGUCGGUGCUGCCUGCACCCUGGCCAUCUCCCGCAGCGAGCCGCCGACGGACAGCGCCCGGCGCGGCCUUCUCGGGGCGGAGGAGGUGGACCUGGACGAGGAGGUGAAGCUGAUGCCGCUGGCGGAGGACUCGGAGGAGUUCUGCGAGGCCGUGCGCCACUUCUACGCCACCCUGGAGGACUUCCACAGCAAGAUCCGCGUGGUGAAGGUGGAGAAGCUGAUCCACCCGCUGCUGUACAAGCAGUACCAGCUGAAGAAGGCCUGCAUGGAGAAGACGUGCAGCACCCGCAACGUGGAGCAGGUCCUCUUCCAUGGCACCACGGAGCAGUCCAGCCGCGAGAUCUGCCUGCACGGCUUCAACCGCAGCUUCUGCGGCAAGAACGCCACUCUCUACGGGCUCGGCGUGUACUUCGCGGUGAACGCCGUGCUGUCGGUGCAGGACAAGUACUCGCCCUGCAGCGCCGAUGGCAGCAAGUACAUCUUCAUGGCCAAGACCCUGACCGGCGACUACGCGGCCGGCAGGAAGGACAUGCGGGCGCCGCCGCUCAAGGAGGCGUCCGAGGCGCCGCUGCGGUACGACAGCGUCGUGGACAACCCCAGGAAGCCGGGCAUCUUCGUCAUCUUCAACGACACCCAGGCCUACCCGCAGUACCUCAUCACCUGCCAGCGCGUCAAGCCGCCGGYCUGAGCCAGGGCCGGCCGUCUGCAGGCUCACUGUGCGCGCCGGGGCUCUCCUGGCUCCACCGUGCCAGCAUCCAGCUGCGCCUGUCCCGCCGUGAUGGGCAGCCCGGUGUUGCACCGGGAUGGGCUCGGUGCACGGAGGGGACCCUGCGCCCCUUCCCUGCAGGGUGCUUCUGCUGCAGCCCCUCACCCCGGCGUCAAGCCUCUGCGUGCGGCACGGCGGUGGGGGGACCAAGGGUCGCAAGUGCAAUAGAAACAAAGUUUGGAAUAAAGGGUUUGAGUGGCUGCCGGUGUCCGGAGGUGAGCGAGGGGCAGCCCGGGGGGUGCGGGCGAUGCCGAGGGGGACCCUCGGCUGCCUUCGCUUUCUGGGGCUGGGUGGAAUCGUUGCUCCUGCRGGCUGGGCUCUGCCGGGGGGUUUCUCCCCUGCUGGGCUCCGGCUCCUCGCUCCCGGGUUACCUGCUGGGGCCGUCUCCAGAGGCGCCUUCUCGUGGGGCCAGACCUCGUCCCCCCCCGGGGGCUCGCUGCCUUCCGCUCCCCGUGCGAGGUCCCACCCUGGGGAGCUGGGUGCAGGUGCAGGUGCUGCYGGCACCCGGCCCUCACCUGCAGCCUCUCCAUGAGGCUGGGGCCGACAGCCAGCUUUUCUGCAGGAGAUGUGCUGUUCUUGACGAGUCGUGUCGCCAGGUCAAGGAGUUACGGGAGGAGGUAAGCAGGCUGCGUAGCAUCCGAGAAGACGUUCGAGAGAUGGGUAGGCUAUUCUGAGAGACCCUACAGCUUCAAAAGUCUCAACCCCUCAUAGCAGUGGAGAUGCGGGUGGGCUCUGUGCCAUGAGGAACAGUAAGUCAUAACUCUGUAGAAGAUGAAGGCUGGAAAUUGGUUGCUCCUCGUAUGAGGAGAAAGGCUCUUGCUCCUGCUGAAGACUUGCAGUUGAUGAACCUCCRAGCUGAGGGCACUGACCUUGCAGCAUGGCUCCAGGUGAAGCAACUGAGCCGACGGACCCUGUGCCAUGCAGGAACACCUGGAAGAAGCGGAGAGUGAUUGUUGUGGGUGACUCCCYGCUGCAGGGGACAGAGGCGCCCGUCUGCCGACCUGACCUCUUGUCUAGAGAGGUUUGUUGCCUGCUGGGGGCUCGAAUCUGAGAUAUCGUGGAAAGACUGCCAAGACUUGUCCACCCGUCCAACUAUUACCCCCAGCUGCUCUUCCACGAAAAAAGAACAAACAAAAAAAAACCCUCUGGGAUCUACAGGCCAGUCAGCCUCACCUCGAUCCCUGGAAAGGUGAUGGAACAGCUCAUCCUGGACACCAUCUCCAAGCAUGUGAAGGAUAAGAAGGUGAUCGGGAGUAGUCAGCAUGGAUUCACAGAGGGGAAAUCAUGCUUAACCAAUCUGAUAGCCUUCUCUGAUGGAAUGAGUGGCUGGGUAGAUGAGGGGAGAGCAGUGGAUGUUGUCUCCCUUGACUUCAGCAAGGCUUUCGACACUGUCUCCCAUAGCAUCCUCAUAACAUCCUCCCAUAACAUCCUCAGGAAGUGUGGGCUAGAUGAGUGGACAGUGAGGUGGCUAGAGAAGUGGCUGAAUGGCAGAGCUCAGAGGGUUGUGAUCAGCGGUGCAGUCUAGCUGGAGGCCUGUAGCUAGCGGUGUCCCCCAGGGGUCAGUACUGGGUGCAGUCUUGUUCCACUUCUUCAUCAGUGACCUGGAUGAAGGGACAGAGUGCACCCUCAGCCAGUUUGCUGAUAAUACCAAGCUGGGAGGAGUGGCUGAUACCC